rnacentral:rRNA from 1 species
GUGGGGAAUAUUGGACAAUGGGCGAAAGCCUGAUCCAGCCAUGCCGCGUGUGUGAAGAAGGUCUUCGGAUUGUAAAGCACUUUAAGUUGGGAGGAAGGGCAGUAAGUUAAUACCUUGCUGUUUUGACGUUACCAACAGAAUAAGCACCGGCUAACUUCGUGCCAGCAGCCGCGGUAAUACGAAGGGUGCAAGCGUUAAUCGGAAUUACUGGGCGUAAAGCGCGCGUAGGUGGUUCAGAAAGUUGAAGGUGAAAUCCCCGGGCUCAACCUGGGAACUGCCUCCAAAACUACUGAGCUAGAGUACGGUAGAGGGUAGUGGAAUUUCCUGUGUAGCGGUGAAAUGCGUAGAUAUAGGAAGGAACACCAGUGGCGAAGGCGACUACCUGGACUGAUACUGACACUGAGGUGCGAAAGCGUGGGGAGCAAACAGGAUUAGAAACCCGUGUAGUCC